rnacentral:lncRNA from 1 species
GGCAUCCUUAGCCUCCUUAGGUCUAAAUUAUGUCAUAAGUAUGUCCCUCCCUUUUUCAAAAUAGAGUUUCUACAUGUAUUUAUACCAAAUAGGGUAUAACCCAGAUAAAACACCUUUUCCUAUGUGAAAUAGGACUUUGGCUCUGUAAAAUUUGCAUAGGUGCGCCGCAUGGGGCGACGCACCAUGCGAUGUGCUUGUGGGGAAGUUCAGAGAGCUAAUUCUGACAGGCUGCAGGAAAUUUCCACAAGUGAGGCGCACCCCGUGCCGCAGUAGUGGAAAUUCACGAAAAUGCAAAACAUGAAAAAUGUAGGCCUUUCAAAUAGCUUUCCAAUGAUAUACUGUGAAGCAUCCCAAACGGAGUUAUGAACGAAAAGUUAUGUGCAUUUUACUACACAAUACACCGUGAGCCCGCUCGAUUCUUUGUUUCGUUCUUAACUAUCAUCUACUGAUUCCCGAACACGAUCCCCGCUUGAUUCCUUGGGCUUUUACUCAGACUUCAAAGCUCCAAAUCACUUGAAUCCAUUCCAUAAUAUCGACAUAGCUUGGAAUUACUCCUACAAAGCAUAAAAUACACGAUUAAUGUAAAACACUAGCGAUUAAAGCUCAAACUUAAUUAAGGUACAAUUAAUAAGAGAGUAAUAAGCGACUAAAAUACGUAAUUAUAGCCUAUCAUUAUUUAUGUAAAUUAAUUAUGAAAAUUAUUUUACUUUAUUUUGUAGUUGAAAAGUUAUUUAGUUUUGCCCUAUGUAAUUGAAAAGUCACUCCAUUAUUUUGAAGAUAUUAUUUGACAUUUUUCUUUUCAAUCCAACCAUUUUAAAAAAUUCAAAGCACCACUCAAACCAUUUAUCCUGCUGCUAAACCUUUCUUUAAAAAAGAAAUAAUAACAAAAAUCAUACUUCAUAAAACAAAUAAACGAAUAGACACUGCAUAAAUAUUCCUUAUCAUAUAUCAAUUGUGCACUACAAAAAUAUUCCUUUAAGAUAUGCUCAAACUAUAUUGAUACCUUUGAAGUAUUAAUGCCCAGCUUUUGCACAAGAGAGAAAUAUACUGGGAUUUAAUGCCUUCGGAAAGGUACCUACCAAUUCGUUCAUGUGAAGGCACAAAGCUAAUACGAAUAUUUUCACUGUCAAUCUCCUCAGGAAUAUCAAGUAAACCCGGGGGUAGACUUAAUUUCAAAGGAAAGAUAGAAGGGAUCAAUCAAUUUUCUGACAUAGAAAGUCGAAAUAAGGUAAAUCUAGGUUAUCGUGAUUUUUAGCCUUUCACCCAUAUUUGAGAGACAAUUCUUUCUAAGUGCAGGUUUUGGGCGUAGUAAUGUCCAAGAUUUUUUGGAUCUACUGGUCCAAGCCUUCAAUCAUAAGUGAAACCCAUCGAGUUGCUGAAGCAAACAAAGGAUGAAGGAUCAAUACGGAUAUGGAAAAAUCCGUAAUAAGAAAAAUAUGAAAUAUUAUACAAGAAGCUUACAAGUGAGGUUUCACGUUUCCGAAAAGGAUGAAGUCGUUGUCGAAACGAUGGCGUCGGUGGCAACUACAAUAAAUUGUUGUAUUCACCCACGGUCG